AAUUUCUUCUUCCUCAUCCCUCAAGGGACAGGCACAGCAGGAGAUUAAUGAAUAAUUAAUAGUUAAUUAAUAAUUACAGGUACUCAUAACGCUGUGGCAAAGGGAUGAAAUACACACUUCAUAGAUAUGCCGGAAUGGAACUAAAGGAACCAUGUAGGUAAAGGACAGUGUAGAAAUAUCAAGGACAUGAUCUUGAUCAAAAUUAUGCAGUAACACAUUGUUGACUUUCACCUUGCCCAAAAGCCAGUGUUUAUUGCAAAGGCUUGGAGAGACCACAGCUCUUAAACAACAUUUCAGAAGGCAAUACAAACAGAGGAUUUAAGGAAAGCAAAUCUCUGCUUCACUGGGAAGAAAGGAAAAUAUUAUCAUCAUUAAAUUCUCAGAAACUACCAGCUUUGAGGGAAUAAAUUAUGACUGGUACUGUGGUUUCUUAAAUCAGGACUGCCUCUCUGACAAAUGACUUGCUUCUUGGGUAAAAUGUGGAUGCUUUGCAAUUUUAGUCUCUGCUGAUGCAACAGAUUGAUGAAGGUCAGUUUCUGGUUUUGAGUUGUACCUCUUAUACCAAUGGUAAACUGGUGAAAGUGUUCAGGAAAAUUGUAGCUGGUAAAUAAAUUCUU